CCUACGGGAGGCAGCAGUGAGGAAUAUUGGUCAAUGGGCGCGAGCCUGAACCAGCCAAGUAGCGUGAAGGAUGACUGCCCUACGGGUUGUAAACUUCUUUUAUAAAGGAAUAAAGUGAGGCACGUGUGCCUUUUUGUAUGUACUUUAUGAAUAAGGAUCGGCUAACUCCGUGCCAGCAGCCGCGGUAAUACGGAGGAUCCGAGCGUUAUCCGGAUUUAUUGGGUUUAAAGGGAGCGUAGAUGGGUUGUUAAGUCAGUUGUGAAAGUUUGCGGCUCAACCGUAAAAUUGCAGUUGAUACUGGAAGUCUUGAGUACGUGUGAGGUAGGCGGAAUUCGUGGUGUAGCGGUGAAAUGCAUAGAUAUCACGAAGAACUCCGAUUGCGAAGGCAGCUUACUAAACUGCCACUGACAUUGAUGCACGAAAGUGUGGGUAUCAAACAGGAUUAGAUACCCCUGUAGUC
rnacentral:rRNA from 1 species